CAGUAGCCACGGUAAUACAGAGGGUGCAAGCGUUAAUCGGAAUUACUGGGCGUAAAGCGCGCGUAGGUGGUUUGUUAAGUUGGAUGUGAAAGCCCCGGGCUCAACCUGGGAACUGCAUCCAAAACUGGCAAGCUAGAGUACGGUAGAGGGUGGUGGAAUUUCCUGUGUAGCGGUGAAAUGCGUAGAUAUAGGAAGGAACACCAGUGGCGAAGGCGACCACCUGGACUGAUACUGACACUGAGGUGCGAAAGCGUGGGGAGCAAACAGGAUUAGAUACCCGUGUAGUCCCUGUCUCUUAUAA
rnacentral:rRNA from 1 species